GCGGAAACGCUCAGUCGCGAGACUUCGGCACGCAACGCGGAUAUCUCAUCCCGGCACACCGCUAGCGCACGAUUUUGUUCCAGGACGAGACGUUCCCAAUCCGAGGCGCCCGCUGCCUCCAUAGUACGGCGAAGUAAUCUGUUACGAAGCGCUGACGGAGACAAGCGCGGGCGAGCGAAGAGAUGGCGUGUGACCGAACACAGGACGAGAAUCGACUCGGGACCGAGCAGCAUGACAAGCUGUGUAUUGUGCCCUGCGAUGGAUUGGCACCCUGUCCAGCGUAUACUCUGCCUUGUGCCCGAUGCUUCCUGGGAUAGGCUCCAGGUUCCCCCGUGACCCUGAAAGCGGUUGAAGAUGGAUGGAUGGAUGGAUGGAUGGAUGGAUGGACAAGCUGUGUUUAUAUCUGCUAUAAUUUAAGUCCGAACAGGAACGAACUUGCUUGUGCAGAUCUUCCUCAACAUUUAACAUAACUAUAAAUGAAUGACUGAAUGAACGAAUGGUAUAAGAG
ensembl:lncRNA